UACGUAGGGUGCAAGCGUUGUCCGGAAUUAUUGGGCGUAAAGAGCUCGUAGGCGGUCUGUCGCGUCGGCUGUGAAAACCCGGGGCUCAACCCCGGGCCUGCAGUCGAUACGGGCAGACUAGAGUGCGGUAGGGGAGAUUGGAAUUCCUGGUGUAGCGGUGGAAUGCGCAGAUAUCAGGAGGAACACCAAUGGCGAAGGCAGAUCUCUGGGCCGUAACUGACGCUGAGGAGCGAAAGCAUGGGGAGCGAACAGG
rnacentral:rRNA from 1 species